AUUAACCCUCUACAUUUGAUAUGUCAUAUAUCAAGGAUUCAUAUAGUCAAUCCCAGAUAUUCUUAAUUAGAAUGUAAUUGAUUGACAAAAUUUACAUUUCUCUAUUUUUGAUCAUGUCAAUGGAGAAUGAGAAGGAGAAAGAGAACGCGAUAUCAUCAUUGAAAAGAACUACUAGACAUAGAAGGUCAUCAAGUGUUUCAUGUUUUGUUUCUAGUACUUCAGAUCAAAUUUCUAACGACUCUCCAUUGUCUUCUUCUCCUAACGAUACUUCAAAAUGUAAAAAGUCUCAUAAUCAUUUUCCUGAGAUCAAAGAGAAAUGUAAGAACAUUAUGAAUCGAUUUGGUAGACAUCGUCGUCAUGCCUCUGCUGAUUUUACCUAUGAUCAAAUAAGUUAUGCCAAGAAUUUUGAAGAUAAUGAUGAAAUAAAUUUUGAUAACACUGAGGAUUUUCCUAAGAGGAAUUUUAUAUCUAGGUUGCCACUAUCUCCUCUUCAUUCCAAUGUGAUAAUUCCAACCAACAUACAAAAAGAUGAAUAAAUAGGGAGAUCAAACAUAUCUUACAACUACAAACAUAUAUUUUACCAUAAGUCAUCACCCUUUUGUUAUUAACCGGCCACAAGAUUAUAGAUCGAUGAAGAAUCUCUUCAAAAAUUUUGAUCAGGACACAUCACUAAAUCCAAAAAUCCCAUUGGUUGCUUAUUAAUCUCAAACCCGGUAGCUCAGUAGAUAUAUAGGCGCUCUUAUGAACUAUUGUGGUGUAACAUAUGGUCGAUGAAGAAUCUCUACAAAGUCUUCUAUAUGAUCAAAUGGCCAUUAAAUCAAGAAAUUCAUCGAGUGCCUAUUAAUUAACACUCCUAUAAACUCAUCUUGAUUACAAAUUCAAGUUGGUGUAAUAUAUGGUCGAUAAAAGAAUCACUCCAAAAUCUUCUAUGUGAUCAGGUUGGUGUAAUACGAAGAAACGCUCCAAAAUCUGCUCUUUGAUUAGGUACGUGCUACUAAAUUCAAAAAUCCCAUCACUUGCUUAUUAAUCUCAAACCUAAUAGCUUUGUUGAGUGGCACACCUAUAAUAAAACUCCUAUUUGCAUACAAGUUUUAAGUUGUACAAUAAUAUAUGGUCGAGGAAGAAUCUCUCCAGAAUCUGCUCUUUGAUCAGGAGGGCCACUAAACCCAAAAUUCAUAGCGAUUGUUCAUAGAUCUCAAACAUAAUAAUCGGAGUAUUAGUAAUUUUGUACGCUCAUCUUGCAUACAUACAUUUUCCAACAAAGGAUCAAAGUCACGGGCAUGAAUUCAGAAGAUGUGAAGGACAGCUUCGAAACAUCAAUACAAUUAGACUCGGAGACAGAUUUAGGGAAAAUUCAAUGUGUUCAACAAAUUCAUUACAUUCGAGUUGAAAAUAUGUAUUUGAAAUAUUAAUACAAGUAAAUUCUGAGGCGAGCAUUAUGUGAGUUCAACCAAUCAAUAAGAUCACACUCAUUCUAAUACCACAAAUUUCAAAUUAUAGAUUUACCUAUGCGCAAUAGAAAAAAAAUACUGUACUAGCAAAUUAAAGACAAAAGGCUGUAACGUUAUGUGAAAUAUAUUAAUUUCCUGUAUAAACAUUAGUAGAAAAAUUGGCUAUCUG